rnacentral:rRNA from 1 species
AAGCCUGACGCAGCAACGCCGUGUGAGUGACGAAGGCUCUCGGGUCGUAAAGCUCUGUCAGAAGGAACGAACACCUGUUUGGAACAAUACCCAGGCAGUUUGACGGUACCUUCAGAGGAAGCACCGGCUAACUCCGUGCCAGCAGCCGCGGUAAUACGGAGGGUGCAAGCGUUGUUCGGAAUUACUGGGCGUAAAGCGCGUGUAGGCGGAUUCGGUAGUCGGGUGUGAAAGCCCUGGGCUCAACCCAGGAAGUGCGCCCGAAACCACGGAUCUUGAGAUCUAGAGGGGAUCGGGGAAUUCCCAGUGUAGAGGUGAAAUUCGUAGAUAUUGGGAGGAACACCGGCGGCGAAGGCGCCGAUCUGGAUAGAAUCUGACGCUGAGACGCGAAAGCGUGGGUAGCAAACAGGAUUAGAUACCCUGGUAGUCCACGCUGUAAACGAUGUGCACUAGGUGUCGGGGGUAUUGACCCUCUCGGUGCCGACGCUAACGCAUUAAGUGCACCGCCUGGGAAGUACG